UACGGGGGGGGCAAGCGUUGUUCGGAAUUACUGGGCGUAAAGGGCUCGUAGGUUGCCAACUAAGUCAGACGUGAAAUCCCUCGGCUUAACCGGGGAACUGCGUCCGAUACUGGCAGGCUGGAAUCCGGGAGAGGGAUGUGGAAUUCCAGGUGUAGCGGUGAAAUGCGUAGAUAUCUGGAGGAACACCGGUGGCGAAGGCGGCAUCCUGGACCGGUAUUGACGCUGAGGCGCGAAAGCUAGGGGAACAAACGGG
rnacentral:rRNA from 1 species